rnacentral:lncRNA from 1 species
AGUCUGUAAAUCCCCCACAAGGACGAGCAGGAGAGACGAGAGGGAAGCCUGAGGAGGACAAACGGGGAAAAAGGACAGAUCACACAGAAACGCAAACACAAAUGAGCUAAGAAACCAGGAGGAGGGAGAAGAAGAGUUUUCUAACACCAGCGCGGCGUUGGAGGCGAUGAAGAGGAUGAAGACGCGGGCGUGGAGCCCGAGAGGAGGGACAGGACGAGAGACAGCGGCGAGGGGCGGGCAGAGACGCCGUCGCCGCGGAGACAGGCGGGGGCGAGCCCCGCCCACUCCCAGGGAGAGCCAGUCAGGAGGGGCGGGGGCGGAGUCACGGAGGGGGAGGGGCCUCCGGGGGGACACAGAGACCGGGCCGGGGAGGAAGCAGAGCGGCCGGCCGGGGAGGGGGACUGUGGGAAGGAGGAGGGCGGGAGGCGGGCCGCGGACAGCACCGCCGGCGGGGCCCACAGCAACAGCACCCCUCCGGCCAGCCGCAAGACGGCCACCUUCAAGGCCAAGGUGCCCAAGAAGAAGUACACGUCCGAGCACUGCGCCCCCGCGCCCCCC